rnacentral:rRNA from 1 species
AGUUCGUGGAGUAAUUUGUCUGGUUAAUUCCGUUAACGAACGAGACCUCAACUAACUAAUUGGUGAUAAUUAUAUGCGUAUAAUUAUCCGUGUUAGGAGGACCAUGUGUGUUUAACACAAGGAAGCAUGAGGCAAUAACAGG